rnacentral:rRNA from 1 species
UACGUACGGUGCGAACGUUAUUCGGAAUCACUGGGCUUAAAGGGUGCGUAGGCGGCUCAGAAAGUUGGGUGUGAAAUCCCUCGGCUCAACCGAGGAACUGCGCCCAAAACUACUGGGCUGGAGGAAGAUAGAGGUGAGCGGAACUCACGGUGGAGCGGUGAAAUGCGUUGAUAUCGUGAGGAACACCGGUGGCGAAAGCGGCUCACUGGGUCUUUUCUGACGCUGAAGCACGAAAGCUAGGGGAGCGAACGGG